UCCAUUGAAUUCUUCUUUUUACAUGUCAAUCAAAUUGAAAGUAACGGUCAAAGUCAAUUGGUAACUAAUGCAGCAACUGUGAAUGACCAAACAAAGAAACCAAACAGCUGAGUAUAAAACAAUCAUUCACAAUAGAUAUCAACAUGGCUAUGUUACCAGAUCGAUUUAUUUUAAUAAGACCCAGUAAAAUUGUCGGUUAUUGCGUUGCCCUGUGGUUGAAAAUAUAAAAGAAUGUUUAGCACAUAUAAAGGAUUUUGUUUGCCUUGAACGCAAUUUCUUGUAUUUGUUUUUCUAUUCUAAUUCUGCUUGGUUUUCCCCAACAUACCAAACAUAUAUUAGACGACAAUUCGGUCGUGAACAAUAUAAUAAAAAUGGUGUUUCAAAAUUUUAAAACAAUGGUUGAGAAACAUUUAUGUAAAAAGCAAUCACGCGAUUUAAAGACGGAAUUCUUAAGACGGGAGCCAUCAAAAUAUUUGCAGGAAUUCAAAAGAAGUUUAAAUUAGUGGAAAAGAUGCCGAGAAGGCUUAUAUUGAAAAAAAAUACAUAUAGGAGCCGAAUUCCACAAAAUAGAAAUUUACGUCCCGAAAUUUUGCACAACAAAUCUGAAAUCGGAUUAAGAAUACAUAUGGGAGCUAUAUCCAAAUCUUA